AGCCACCCACUUAUACCAAAAGAAAUUUCAGCCCUAAAAACAAUCCUUUACUUAACUGCCGAACCACCAUGAUUUUGGUGAUCACCAGUAAGCAAGCAACGCCCAAUCUUGCUGUUAAAGAUGUAACAGCCCGAUUUUGGGCCUAGUCGGAACAGUGGUUUCGAGACCACUAUUCUGAGGCCAUAGAAAAUUAUUUUAGUAUUAUUUUAUGUGUUAUAAUAUGAUUUUAUAAGUGCAUGUUAAUUUUGGUAUAUUAAUUUUAGCGAUUUCUAGUCCAAUUUCGAAAAAGGACUAAAUCUCGUAAAAAGUAAAAGUUGUGUUUUAAUACCUAAAGGUGUUAAAUUGCCUUGUAUCUUAAAUUGGGGGUCUUUAAAGUGAAAUUAAGCCAUUGAAAGUGUGAUGGCCGGCCAUGGGAGAUAAAAUAGUUGAAAAGUCAAAAUUGAACAAAAUAGUUUUAUUAUUAACAAAUAAAAAAAAAGAGAAAAAGAAAAAGCUAUCAUUUUUCUCUUCCCCUUCACCAAAAUAUGCAGCAAAGAAAGGGUUUUGAAGCUGGAAAAUUUCAGCAACAUAUUUCCCUUGCUUAUGAUGAAAAUUGAGAUUUGGACCUAGAACGGAAAGAAAUCGAUUUAUGGACGAGUAUGUCUUUUCACCUUUGUGGUGUCGAGAGUUUCCAGGUUAGCUCGGGUUGGAGGCCGUCCGAGAUAUUAUCACCCUAUCGAGUUAACGUUAUCGGAGUAAGUAAACUCAAGUGAUUCGAGUCUAUGGCAUGUAUAGGGUUUUAAUGUGAUUAUGUAAUAUUAUGAUCUAGCCAAAGGCAUUGGCUUGUUAUUAAGGUAGUAUUAGUUAUGUAAAUUGGCCUAUGUCGGCUAAUAUCGUUAUGGGCCCAUAUGAUUAUUCUUAUGCAUUUAUGUUAUUAUUUCUUGUGAUGUGACUUACAACAUGUAUGCCUAGAGAUUGAAUUGAGAUUCAUUGAUGAGCUAGUAACUAAUGCAGGAUUAAGUGAUUGGUAAAUAGUUAAUAAUGCUUCAUGAAUGGUUUGUGAUGUAAUGAUAGUUAUGUCUAGUAUGUGGUAAUGGUAUGGGCAAAUUCUAUAAUAUUUAUUGCAUAAGAAAAUAACUUGAGCAUAA